rnacentral:lncRNA from 1 species
UUUGUUGUCUCCGUUUCUCUAAGGAAUAGCAAUUUUAUAGUGGUUAGUCUAAUGAUUUAGGGAGUAUUUGCAGUUUUGCUAAAUUAAUUGAUAAAAAAUUAGAACGAUUUCCAUGUACCAUGAAAAGGAGUUUAUCAUAAAUUAAUACAAAUGUAUAAUGUGGUUAUAAAUUUUAAAACGAAUUAAAAGAUUAUAAGCUUCAUAUAUAGAUCAUUUACCGAAAACUCACUAUUUUCGUAGGGG